GGUUUAACCAGGUUAUGUUAGUAGGUUACUAGAUUAACAUGAAUGACUGUACCAGGUUUAACCAGGUUAUGUUAGUAGGUUACUAGAUUAACAUGAAUGACUGUACCAGGUUUAACCAGGUUAUAUUAGUAGGUUACUAGAUUAACAUGAAUGACUGUACCAGGUUAUAUUAGUAGGUUACUAGAUUAACAUGAAUGACUGUACCAGGUUAUAUUAGUAGGUUACUAGAUUAACAUGAACGACUGUACCAGGUUAUAUUAGUAGGUUACUAGAUUAACAUGAAUGACUGUACCAGGUUUAACCAGGUUAUAUUGGUAGGUUACUAGAUUAACAUGAAUGACUGUACCAGGUUUAACCAGGUUAUAUUAGUAGGUUACUAGAUUAACAUGAAUGACUGUACCAGGUUUAACCAGGUUAUAUUGGUAGGUUACUAGAUUAACA